ensembl:lncRNA
CUUACAAAAUAUGUAUUUAAAAAAAAAUUACAAAGAUAUUAUUUUGAUGCGUCCAACUAAUUCUUACUUAAGAAGUAGUGUAACUCAAAAAGUUGCAACUGUAAAAAAUAGUAUUCAUAAUUUAAGUUUAACCAAUGUUAAAUCAAUAUCUUUAGAUCCUUCGACAACAAAUAUGAAUAAGGACAAUAUUACUAAACAUAUAAGAAAAAGAAAAUAUAUGAAUGCGAAAAAAAAAAAGAAAAAAAAAAGUUUGAAAAAAAUAAACAAUAGUUCAACAAAUGGUAAUAACAUUAUUGAAAACUUUAGUAAUGAUGAGUAUGAUAGUAAGAACAAAAAGAGCAUCUUCAAAAAAAUCAAAAGUGAAAUUAGUAAUUUUUUUAUGAAUACAAAUGAAGACAAUAGUAAUGGAAACAAAACAAUCAAAAAUGAAAGCAGCGAAAAAAAUGAAAGUAUCGAAAAAAAUGAUAGCGAAAAAAAUGAAAGUAUCGAAAAAAAUGAUAGCGAAAAAAAUGAAAGUAGCGAAAAAAAUGAAAGUAGCAAAAGACAUGUAAAUUUUAUUAAUUUAAUUUUAAAAAAUAAAUUAAUCAAAUCACCAAAAAGUGAUAAUGAAAUUAUGAGAAUUGAAAAUGAAAUAGUUCGUUUGUAUGAAAAACAAAAUAAAAUUGAUAUUGAUAUAAAUAAUGAUAAAAACAUGAACGUAAAAAAUGAAAAUAAUAAAAACAAAAAACGUGAUAGUUCGAUGAAAAUCCUAAAUUUAGAAUCAUGUUUAACCCAUAUAAAUGCAAAUAAAAAUAUUAUUAAAAUUUUAUAUUAUUUAUUAGAAAAUGAAAAAAAAAUUAAUCUAAAUUGUCACUUAAAAAAAAAAUACAUUGAAAAUGGGAUAGAUUAUAUUAACACAUUGAAUUAUGAAGCAAUAUGUGAUAUACAAAAAGAAUGGAGAAAAAAAAAGAAUACAUUUUAUAAAAAUAAAUCCAAAAAAAAAAAUACUAUUAAUAUAACAGUAGGAUAUACUAAUGUAUCUAAUAAUAUAAAUACAUAUAAUAAAGAACAAAAUAUAAAACAAACAGUUAGUUCUGGAAAUAUAAAUCAUGAAGAACCUAAAACAUGCGAUGAUAUAAAUUUUGUAAAAAGUGGUAAUAGUAGCAGUAGUAUAAGUGGUAGUAGUCAUCACGGUAGUAGUCAUCACGGUAGUAGUCACCAUGGUAGUAGUCACCAUGGUAGUGACCACCAUGGUAAUAGUAGCAGAAGUAGUAGUAUUAGUGGCAGUAGUAGUAGUAAUACUUAUCAUGAUAGUAGUAGUUGUAGUAGUAGUGGCAGUAGUAAUAGUAGUAGUGACAGUAGUAGUAGUUAUAGUAGUAGCAAUAGCAGUGAUAGUGAUAGUGAUAGUGAUAGUGACAGUAGUAGUAACAUUUGUAGUUACAGUGAUGAUAUUAGUGAUAGUGAUAGUAAUCCAUAUACGAAUACAUAUGAUGAUAAAGAAAAAAAUAAUUUUUUAGGUAGAGAUAAAACUUUUGAAAAUAUGUACAAUUAUGUAUAUAUGGGUAAUCAUCAAAAUAAUGGUAUAAAUUCAAAUACUAUAACUGAAAACCAAAAUAUAAAUAAUAUAACAAAUAAUUCAUUAUAUAAUUAUGAUACAAAUAAUAUAAUAGAAUAUAAUAAUAAUGAUCAUAAUUAUAUGAACGUUAAUACAAAUAAUUGUACAAUAAACAGUGGAAAUGAUACAUGUAAUUUAUCGAAUUUAUAUCAAUACAAUUCCAAAGAAACAAAUGAAGAAAAAAACUCGGAAAAUUUUUUAAUAAACAAUUAUAACAAUAAUAAUACAUUUCCUACAAACAUAAGUAACAUUCCUACAA